AACGAACGCUGGCGGCAGGCUUAACACAUGCAAGUCGAACGGAUCCUUCGGGAUUAGUGGCAGACGGGUGAGUAACGCGUGGGAACGUACCCUUUGCUACGGAAUAACUCAGGGAAACUUGAGCUAAUACCGUAUGUGCCCUACGGGGGAAAGAUUUAUCGGCAAAGGAUCGGCCCGCGUUGGAUUAGCUAGUUGGUGGGGUAAUGGCCUACCGAGGCGACGAUCCAUAGCUGGUCUGAGAGGAUGAUCAGCCACACUGGGACUGAGACACGGCCCAGACUCCUACGGGAGGCAGCAGUGGGGAAUAUUGGACAAUGGGCGCAAGCCUGAUCCAGCCAUGCCGCGUGAGUGAUGAAGGUCUUAGGAUUGUAAAGCUCUUUCACCGGUGAAGAUAAUGACGGUAGCCGGAGAAGAAGCCCCGGCUAACUUCGUG
rnacentral:rRNA from 1 species